UACGGAGGGGGCUAGCGUUGUUCGGAAUUACUGGGCGUAAAGCGCACGUAGGCGGAUGCUCGAGUCGGGGGUGAAAUCCCGGGGCUCAACCCCGGAACUGCCUCCGAUACUGGGCGUCUAGAGGAUGGGAGAGGCGAGUGGAAUUCCGAGUGUAGAGGUGAAAUUCGUAGAUAUUCGGAGGAACACCAGUGGCGAAGGCGGCUCGCUGGUCCAUUUCUGACGCUGAGGUGCGAAAGCGUGGGGAGCAAACAGG
rnacentral:rRNA from 1 species